rnacentral:rRNA from 1 species
AGCCUGACGCAGCAACGCCGCGUGGGUGAUGAAGGUCUUCGGAUUGUAAAGCCCUUUCGGCGGGGACGAUGAUGACGGUACCCGCAGAAGAAGCUCCGGCUAACUUCGUGCCAGCAGCCGCGGUAAUACGAAGGGGGCUAGCGUUGCUCGGAAUGACUGGGCGUAAAGGGCGCGUAGGCGGUUUAGUGAGUUGGGCGUGAAAUUCCUGGGCUUAACCUGGGGGCUGCGUUCAAUACCACUAGGCUUGAGUGUGGAAGAGGGUCGUGGAAUUCCCAGUGUAGAGGUGAAAUUCGUAGAUAUUCGCAAGAACACCAGUGGCGAAAGCGGCUCACUGGCCCGAUACUGACGCUGAGGCACGAAAGCGUGGGGAGCAAACAGGAUUAGAUACCCUGGUAGUCCGCGCCGUAAACGAUGAAUGCCAGCCGUUAGUGGGUUUACUCACUAGUGGCGCAGCUAACGCUUUAAGCAUUCCGCCUGGGGAGUACGGUCGCA